rnacentral:tRNA from 1 species
GGCAGGAUGGCCGAGUGGUCUAAGGCGCUGCGUUCAGGUCGCAGUCUCCCCUGGAGGCGCGGGUUAGAAUCCCGCUCCUGUCA